GAAACGUGAACCAAGCCAGCAUGAUUAUGCUGUAAGACUUGGAGCGGACAAUCGCAAGACUGUCCUGUA
rnacentral:sRNA from 12 species